rnacentral:rRNA from 1 species
AACGAACGCUGGCGGCAUGCCUAACACAUGCAAGUCGAACGAGACCUUCGGGUCUAGUUGCGCACGGGUGCGUAACGCGUGGGAACCUGCCCUUAGGUUCGGAAUAACUCCCCGAAAGGGGUGCUAAUACCGGAUAAUGUCUUCGGACCAACGAUUUAUCGCCUUUGGAUGGGGCCGCGUUGGAUUAGCUAGUUGGUAGGGUAAAAGCCUACCAAGGCGACGAUCCAUAGCUGGUCUGAGAGGAUGAUCAGCCACACUGGGACUGAGACACGGCCCAGACUCUUACGGGAGGCAGCAGUGGGGAAUAUUGGACAAUGGGCGAAAGCCUGAUCCAGCAAGGCCGCGUGAGUGAUGAAGGCCUUAGGGUUGUAAAGCUCUUUUACCCGGGAUGAUAAUGACAGUACCGGGAGAAUAAGCUCCGGCUAACUCCGUG